AGAGGUUUAGGUUACCUAGACCAAGAGCCUUCAAAGCUCCAAGCAAGUAUAUAUUACUUAAUCUCUG